UCCUUUCCCCCUCUUUCUCUUCUCUUCCCCUCAGUUGAAAAAAAAAAAAAAAGAAAGAAAAGAAAAAGAAGAAAAAGAAGAAAAAAAAAUUGUCAAGCCCCCGAACUGAAGGUUACGAGCGGCCCGUCAGCAGCCCACAUGUAACCGAACUGUCGUGUUUCAUGGCUUUUUGCCACUCCAGCUGUCAAUCAAAGCCCGGAAUGUCAAGGUAGUGAAUGAAUGAUGGUUGAUGAUGAUGAAGAGGAGGAAUCUUUCAGACCCGUUUUUUUUCUUCCAGUAAAACUCCGCGAGGGGUUUCUGCUUCUUGAAUUUUUUCCUCCCCCCUCCCCCCCUCUUUUAGCUUGGCCCCCGCGGUAUCUAUGAUAUGAUCCUCUCUCUUUAAAGUAUCGUUCAAAGAAAGCAGAGGGGAAAAAUCAAGAAAAAAAUUGAAUAGUUUGCAAAAAUUGGACUUCCUCCCCCCCUUUCCUGAAGAGCUCCAAGAUUAAAAGCAUCCUCCUUAUUUGUUGCUGAGUUGCUCGUCGACAUUUAAGAAAAGGAGUCCCUCCAAGUCUGAUAGGAAAGACAGGGCCACUUCUGGGUGAGCUGUAAGGAUGCGUUUUCAUUUCCACAACAUUGAAGCACUUUUUAUAAACCUUGUACUUAAAUAAAUCUAUCUGGACAUUAAGAGACGUGACUCAUACAACGAUAGCUUGGCUUUGUGCUGUCAAUCCUAGCAUUAAAAAAAAAAAAAUCCAGAAUCCUUCUGAGAAGCUUUUCCAUAGCCACUCAUUUCUCAAAACAAACAAACAAACAAACAACUAAAAACAAGAAAAACUAGAAAAGCAAAAGAAAGUUGACUGUAUGCAUCUGGGUGUCUUCUCGCGCAUUUAUAAAUGUCUCCCAGCCCCGCUUGCUGUGUUGCCUCCCUCCUGCCACACACUCUAAGGCAGAGGCAUCGAGGGAUCGCCCCCAGAGAGUUGUGUUUACUUAGGUUUUUUUAAUCUCUCCACCAUGUAUGACAAGUGUUACUUCAAGAAAUUCAUCAGCCUUCUACAGAUACUUCCAGGUUUUGCUGUAAUGAUCUGCAGAAGAGAACUGCCAUCACUUUCUCACAUCCCAAGGUGUUGCAGGAACUCAGAGAAAGGGGAGAGUGGCUGAAACGCUUAAUUACAGUGGGGGAGGGAGGAGCGCAAGGCGGGGACGGAGGGAGGAGGGAAAGGAGGAAGAUCCUUUACCUAGCCUGUACCUGGAGAGAGCUCUGAAUCCUCUCAGUGGAAAUUUGGGAAAGGUAUUGUUGCCUUUUUUUUUUUUUAAUGCCUUUGGGGAGAAGUGAUACCCUUGUGUAACAAUUAGCUCAGACAAUAAAAAUAAUUGGAAAAUCA